rnacentral:rRNA from 1 species
CCUACGGGGGGCAGCAGUGGGGAAUAUUGCACAAUGGGGGAAACCCUGAUGCAGCGACGCCGCGUGAGUGAAGAAGUAUUUCGGUACGUAAAGCUCUAUCAGCAGGGAAGAAAAUGACGGUACCUGACUAAGAAGCCCCGGCUAACUACGUGCCAGCAGCCGCGGUAAUACGUAGGGGGCAAGCGUUAUCCGGAUUUACUGGGUGUAAAGGGAGCGUAGACGGCAGCGCAAGUCUGGAGUGAAAUCCCAUGGCUUAACCAUGGAACUGCUUUGGAAACUGUGCAGCGAGAGUGCAGGAGAGGUAAGCGGAAUUCCUAGUGUAGCGGUGAAAUGCGUAGAUAUUAGGAGGAACACCAGUGGCGAAGGCGGCUUACUGGACUGUAACUGACGUUGAGGCUCGAAAGCGUGGGGAGCAAACAGGAUUAGAUACCCCUGUAGUC